rnacentral:rRNA from 1 species
AUACGGGGGGUGCAAGCGUUAUCCGGAUUUAUUGGGUUUAAAGGGUCCGUAGGCGGAUCUGUAAGUCAGUGGUGAAAUCUCAUAGCUUAACUAUGAAACUGCCAUUGAUACUGCAGGUCUUGAGUAAGGUAGAAGUAGCUGGAAUAAGUAGUGUAGCGGUGAAAUGCAUAGAUAUUACUUAGAACACCAAUUGCGAAGGCAGGUUACUAUGUCUUAACUGACGCUGAUGGACGAAAGCGUGGGGAGCGAACAGGAUUAGAUACCCUAGUAGUCC